rnacentral:misc_RNA from 1 species
GGGAAGAUCUAGAGGAGGUUUUAAAGGGAGGGGAGGCGAUCGAUAACUGUGUUCUUAUUUGCCAUACAAUGGAAAUCUGUUGUAUUUUUUCCUUAUUGAACACAGUGUAAUUUUAUACAUAUCUUCAUGAAGGUAUGUUUGUGAACUGUCUUUUUAUUUAGAGGAAAGCAUUAAAUGAAUGUUUAGAAAAAAAAAAAUUAAAAUGCUCAUGCAAUCGAAUCAUUUAUGGGAUCUAUGCUCAUUGCUAAUGCAUAUACUGUAUCAUUAUUUGUUUGAUAUUGUACAUGAUGUCAAAAUAUUUUUUCAUCUAAAAUUAAAUUUGUGAACUACU